CCUACGGGUGGCAGCAGUGGGGAAUAUUGCACAAUGGGGGAAACCCUGAUGCAGCGACGCCGCGUGAGUGAAGAAGUAUUUCGGUAUGUAAAGCUCUAUCAGCAGGGAAGAAAAUGACGGUACCUGAUUAAGAAGCCCCGGCUAACUACGUGCCAGCAGCCGCGGUAAUACGUAGGGGGCAAGCGUUAUCCGGAUUUAAUGGGUGUAAAGGUAGCGUAGACGGCAGCGCAAGUCUGAAGUGAAAGGCCCGGGCUUAACCCCGGAACUGCUUUGGAAACUGUGCAGCUAGAGUGCAGGAGAGGUAAGUGGAAGUCCUAGUGUAGCGGUGAAAUGCGUAGAUAUUAGGAGGAACACCAGUGGCGAAGGCGGCUUACUGGACUGUAACUGACGUUGAGGCUCGAAAGCGUGGGGAGCAAACAGGAUUAGAUACCCUAGUAGUC
rnacentral:rRNA from 1 species